rnacentral:tRNA from 1 species
GCUCCGGUAGCUCAAUUGGAUAGAGCGUGUGGCUUCGGACCACAAGGUUAGAGGUUCGAGUCCUCUCCGGAGCAC